AUAAUGCAAGUGUUUAACAGAUGCUUCACUAUUAAAAUAUUUCCCCCCCAAGUCUCAAAUAUUGAAGAAUCUCUAACCAGGGACACCAGUCCCUACGAAGACCUUGGGCGAUUUUGAAGUGCGGGCACCUCGAUUCCCCGAAUCUGUAGUGUGGCUGGUAUCGGUGUUCCCCUGGUUUAACUAGCCUGUUUGUGGAAGUGACUCUGACCGUUCCCGUAAGAAUCUUUAAUGCUCUUACAUGAGAUGAGCCUCAGAACAAGCUAAGAACCCUCGAAAGGACAUCAAGCCUGGAAGGUGACAGAAGGAGCAAUGUGUUCUUGAAGAUGUCACCUCAGCCCACCUGCUCCAAGGACAGUGCUUCUUGCGACACUCUGAUAGCUCUGCAUUCUUUUCUGUACCAGGAAGGCACAGAUCAUUCAUGGGGAAGUAUAACCGAAACCAGUCCUCUCCACCCCCUGGGGAUCUUCACUUUCCCAGUCUACAACUGCCUGUGACUCCAGAAAGACAAACUGCAGAUUGGCCAAGAUGGGGAAAUUGAGGCAGAGAAGCCAAGACAUGCGCUAAAGGUCCAUGCAGGCUAUGAAUGGAGCUGGAAUGUAAACGCAGGCCAUGUGACUCCAGAGCCCAUGUUCUUGAACCCUUAGAAAGACAGCAGCAACACACCUGGUGCAGCAGCUGCUUAGUUGGAGUGGCUGACAAGAGAUCCUGGCAAAUGGGUGUUUCUUCUCAGAAAGGGAUUUUUCUCCAUGACUGCAGUUGAAUUACAAAGUUGUAGAGACAUCCAGGUUCUUGUUAGUGUGGACGAACUAUCCAUGAAGAUCUUAAAUGCAGGAGUCUAUGAGAACACCAAUUAAUCAAUUGUCAAAUAUUUGAGUAUCUAUUGUGAGCAAGGCACUGUAUAACCAUUAUGUCAUGUAUUAAUCUAUUGGAAAAUAAUUUGACCUUGCUUGUA
rnacentral:antisense_RNA from 1 species